rnacentral:rRNA from 1 species
GAUGAACGCUAGCGGCAGGCCUAAUACAUGCAAGUCGAGGGGUAGAGCUGGCUUGCCUGCUUGAGACCGGCGCACGGGUGCGUAACGCGUAUGCAACCUACCUUCAUCAGGGGGAUAGCCCGGAGAAAUCCGGAUUAAUACCGCAUAAAAUCACAGUCCUUCAUGGGACAAUGAUCAAACAUUCAUGGGAUGGAGAUGGGCAUGCGUGUCAUUAGCUAGUUGGCGGGGUAACGGCCCACCAAGGCGACGAUGACUAGGGGAUCUGAGAGGAUGGCCCCCCACACUGGUACUGAGACACGGACCAGACUCCUACGGGAGGCAGCAGUAAGGAAUAUUGGUCAAUGGAGGCAACUCUGAACCAGCCAUGCCGCGUGCAGGAAGACUGCCCUAUGGGUUGUAAACUGCUUUUAUCCGGGAAUAAACCUGAUUACGUGUAAUCAGCUGAAUGUACCGGAAGAAUAAGGAUCGGCUAACUCCGUGCCAGCCGCCGCCGUAAAAC